rnacentral:rRNA from 1 species
GAUGAACGCUGGCGGCGUGCCUAAUACAUGCAAGUCGAGCGGUAAGGCCCCUUCGGGGGUACACGAGCGGCGGACGGCAGAGUAACACGUAGGAACGUACCCCAAAGUGAGGGAUAGCCCACCGAAAGGUGGAUUAAUACCGCAUGUGGUCUUCGGAUUAAAGCAGCAAUGCGCUUUGGGAACGGCCUGCGUAAGAUUAGCUUGUUGGUGAGGUAAUGGCUCACCAAGGCGACGAUCUUUAGCUGGUCUGAGAGGAUGAUCAGCCUGACUGGGACUGAGACACGGCCCAGACUCCUACGGGAGGCAGCAGUAGGGAAUUUUCCACAAUGGGCGAAAGCCUGAUGGAGCAACGCCGCGUGCAGGAUGAAGGCCUUCGGGUUGUAAACUGCUUUUGUCUGAGAAGAAUAUGACGGUAACAGACGAAUAAGGGUCUGCUAACUACGUGCCAGCAGCCGCCGUAA